AACGAACGCUGGCGGCAGGCUUAACACAUGCAAGUCGAACGCAUGCCUUCGGGCAUGAGUGGCAGACGGGUGAGUAACGCGUGGGAACCUACCCCUUGGUACGGGAUAGCUCCGGGAAACUGGAGAUAAUACCGUAUGUGUCCUGAGGGACAAAGAUUCAUCGCCAAGGGAUGGGCCCGCGUCGGAUUAGCUAGUUGGUAGGGUAACGGCCUACCAAGGCGACGAUCCGUAGCUGGUCUAAGAGGAUGAUCAGCCACAUUGGGACUGAGACACGGCCCAAACUCCUACGGGAGGCAGCAGUGGGGAAUAUUGGACAAUGGGCGCAAGCCUGAUCCAGCCAUGCAGCGUGAGUGAUGAAGGCCCUAGGGUUGUAAAGCUCUUUCACCGGUGACGAUAAUGACGGUAACCGGAGAAGAAGCCCCGGCUAACUUCGUG
rnacentral:rRNA from 1 species